CGGGGUGUGGCUCAGACCGGUAGAGUGCGCGGUUCGGGUCCGCGAGGUCGGAGGUUCAAAUCCUCUCACCCCGA
rnacentral:tRNA from 1 species